rnacentral:ncRNA from 1 species
AAGAGACUUAGUCCUAACCUUACUGUUAGUUUUUGCUAGGUAUAUACAUGCAAGUAUCCGCAUUCCAGUGCGUACGCCCUGGAAACCUUUACCACAAAGUCAAUAGGAGCAGGCAUCAGGCUCACCACCUACCGUAGCCCAAGACGCCCAGCACUUGCCACACCCCCACGGGUAUCCAGCAGUAGUCAAUAUUAAGCAAUGAGUGCAAACUUGACUUAGUCAUAGCAAAUCCAGGGUCGGUAAAUCCUGUGCCAGCCACCGCGGUUAUACAGGAGACCCAAAUUAACGUUACCGACGGCGUAAAGAGUGGUCACAUGUUAUCCAAGUAGCUAAGAUUAAAAAGCAACUGAGCUGUCGCAAGCCCAAGAUGCCCAUAAGGCCUCCCUACCAAAGAAGAUCUUAGACGAACGAUCAAUUGAACUCCACGAAAGCUAGGACCCAAACUGGGAUUAGAUACCCCACUAUGCCUAGCCCUAAAUCUUGAUACCAACCCCAACUAAAGUAUCCGCCUGAGAACUACGAGCACUAACGCUUAAAACUCUAAGGACUUGGCGGUGCCCUAAACCCACCUAGAGGAGCCUGUUCUAUAAUCGAUGAUCCACGAUAUUACCUGACCAUCCCUUGCCCAUAACAGCCUAUAUACCGCCGUCGCCAGCCCACCUCCCCUGAAAGCCCAGCAGUGGACGCAACAGCCAAACACCCGCUAAUAAGACAGGUCAAGGUAUAGCCUAUGGGAUGGAAGCAAUGGGCUACAUUUUCUAAAUUAGCACAUAACGGCAAAGGGGCGUGAAACCGCCUCUCGAAGGAGGAUUUAGCAGUAAAGAGAGACAAUCGAGCCCUCUUUAAGCCGGCUCUAGGGCACGUACACACCGCCCGUCACCCUCCUCACAAGCGAUCCAAACCCUAUACACUAAUAAGCCAUAAAGCUAGAGAGGAGGUAAGUCGUAACAAGGUAAGUGUACCGGAAGGUGUACUUAGGACACC